GCCUGUAUAAAGGGUUAGUUGGCCUGUAUAAAGGGUUAGUUGGCCUGUAUAAAGGGUUAGUUGGCCUGUAUAAAGGGUUAGUUGGUCUGUAUAAAGGGUUAGUUGGCCUGUAUAAAGGGUUAGUUGGUCUGUAUAAUGGGUUAGUUAUUCUGUAUAAAGGGUUAGUUGGCCUGUAUAAAGGGUUAGUUGGCCUGUAUAAAGGGUUAGUUAGUCUGUAUAAUGGGUUAGUUAUUCUGUAUAAUGGGUUAGUUGGCCUGUAUAAAGGGUUAGGGUUAGUUGGCCUGUAUAAAGGGUUAGUUGGUCUGUAUAAUGGGUUAGUUAUUCUGUAUAAAGGGUUAGUUGGCCUGUAUAAAGGGUUAGUUGGCCUGUAUAAAGGGUUAGUUAGUCUGUAUAAUGGGUUAGUUAUUCUGUAUAAUGGGUUAGUUGGCCUGUAUAAAGGGUUAGGGUUAGUUGGCCUGUAUAAAGGGUUAGUUGGUCUGUAUAAUGGGUUAGUUAUUCUGUAUAAAGGGUUAGUUGGCCUGUAUAAAGGGUUAGUUGGCCUGUAUAAAGGGUUAGUUAGUCUGUAUAAUGGGUUAGUUAUUCUGUAUAAUGGGUUAGUUGGCCUGUAUAAAGGGUUAGGUUUAGUUGGCCUGUAUAAAGGGUUAGGGUUAGUUGGCCUGUAUAAAGGGUUAG